GGCGAGAUGGCCGAGCGGUCUAAGGCGCCAGACUAAGGAGUUGGCUUCGGUCAUUUCUGCGAUUAUCUGGUCCGAAAGGGCGUGGGUUCGAAUCCCACUCUCGUCA